GAUGAACGCUGACAGCAUGCUUAACACAUGCAAGUCAACUUGAACUUCGGUUUUUGUGGCGGACGGGUGAGUCACGCGUAAAGAACUUGCCUCACAGAUAGGGACAACAUUUGGAAACGAAUGCUAAUACCUGAUAUUAUGAUUAUAUGGCAUCGUAUAAUUAUGAAAGCUAUCUGCGCUGUGAGAGAGCUUUGCGUCCCAUUAGCUAGUUGGAGAGGUAACGGCUCACCAAGGCGAGGAUGGGUAGCCGGCCUGAGAGGGUGAUCGGCCACAAGGGGCAUGAGGAACGGCCCGUACGCAAACGGGAGGCAGGGGUGGGGAAUUGUGGACAAUGGACCAAGAGUCUGAUCAAGGUAUUCUGUGUGCACGAUGAAGUUUUUCGGAAUGAAAAGUACUUUCAGUUGGGAAGAAAAAAAUGACGGUACCAACAGAAGAAGUGACGGCUAAAUACGUG
rnacentral:rRNA from 1 species